rnacentral:rRNA from 1 species
UACAGAGGUCUCAAGCGUUGUUCGGAUUCAUUGGGCGUAAAGGGCAGGUAGGUGGUUUGGUAAGUCUAUUGUGAAAGCUCCCGGCUUAACCGGGAGAGGCCAAUGGAUACUACCAGGCUUGAGUAUAGGAGAGGUUACUGGAAUUCCCGGAGUAGCGGUGAAAUGCGCAGAUAUCGGGAGGAACACCAAUGGCGAAAGCAGGUAACUGGACUAUUACUGACACUCAACUGCGAAAGCUAGGGGAGCAAACAGG